rnacentral:rRNA from 1 species
GAUGAACGCUGGCGGCGUGCCUAAUACAUGCAAGUCGAGCGAACGGACGAGAAGCUUGCUUCUCUGAUGUUAGCGGCGGACGGGUGAGUAACACGUGGAUAACCUACCUAUAAGACUGGGAUAACUUCGGGAAACCGGAGCUAAUACCGGAUAAUAUUUUGAACCGCAUGGUUCAAAAGUAAAAGACGGUCUUGCUGUCACUUAUAGAUGGAUCCGCGCUGCAUUAGCUAGUUGGUAAGGUAACGGCUUACCAAGGCAACGAUGCAUAGCCGACCUGAGAGGGGGAUCGGCCACACUGGAACUGAGACACGGUCCAGACUCCUACGGGAGGCAGCAGUAGGGAAUCUUCCGCAAUGGGCGAAAGCCUGACGGAGCAACGCCGCGUGAGUGAUGAAGGGCUUCGGAUCGUAAAACUCUGUUAUGAGGGAAGAACAGAUGUGUAAGUAACGGUGCACAUCUUGACGGUACCGAAGCAGAAAGCCACGGCUAACUACGU